CCUACGGGAGGCAGCAGUAGGGAAUCUUCCACAAUGGGCGAAAGCCUGAUGCAGCAACGCCGCGUGGGUGAAGAAGGUCUUCGGAUCGUAAAACCCUGUUUUUAGAGAAGAAAGUGCGUGAGAGUAACUGUUCACGUUUCGACGGUAUCUAACCAGAAAGCCACGGCUAACUACGUGCCAGCAGCCGCGGUAAUACGUAGGUGGCAAGCGUUAUCCGGAUUUAUUGGGCGUAAAGGGAACGCAGGCGGGCUGUUAAGUCUGAUGUGAAAGCUUUCGGCUUAACCGGAGUAGUGCAUUGGAGACUGGGAGACUUGAGGGCAGAAGAGGAAGGUGGAACUCCAAGUGUAGCGGUGAAAUGCGUAGAUAUAUGGAAGAACACCAGUGGCGAAGGCAGCUCUCUGGUCUGUAACUGACGCUGAGGUUCGAAAGCGUGGGUAGCAAACAGGAUUAGAUACCCGUGUAGUC
rnacentral:rRNA from 1 species